rnacentral:rRNA from 1 species
ACGAACGCUGGCGGCGUGCUUAACACAUGCAAGUCGAACGGAAAGGCUCUGCUUUUGUGGGGUGCUCGAGUGGCGAACGGGUGAGUAACACGUGAGUAACCUGCCCUUGACUUUGGGAUAACUUCAGGAAACUGGGGCUAAUACCGGAUAGGAGCUCCUGCUGCAUGGUGGGGGUUGGAAAGUUUCGGCGGUUGGGGAUGGACUCGCGGCUUAUCAGCUUGUUGGUGGGGUAGUGGCUUACCAAGGCUUUGACGGGUAGCCGGCCUGAGAGGGUGACCGGCCACAUUGGGACUGAGAUACAGCCCAGACUCCUACGGGAGGCAGCAGUGGGGAAUAUUGCACAAUGGGCGGAAGCCUGAUGCAGCAACGCCGCGUGCGGGAUGACGGCCUUCGGGUUGUAAACCGCUUUCGCCUGUGACGAAGCGUGAGUGACGGUAAUGGGUAAAGAAGCACCGGCUAACUACGUG